rnacentral:rRNA from 1 species
CAAGAGCGUAUGUAAAAGUUGUUGCAGUUAAAAAGCUCGUAGUUGAACCUUGGGUUUGGUUGGCCGGUCCGCUUUUUUGCGAGUACUGGAUUCAACCGAGCCUUUCCUUCUGGCUAACCAGUCGUUUCGGCGGCUGGCGAACCAGGAUUUUUACUUUGAGAAAAUUAGAGUGUUCAAAGCAGGCAUUAGCUUGAAUAUAUUAGCAUGGAAUAAUAGAAUAGGACGUUAUGGUUCUAUCUUGUUGGUUUCUAGGACCAUCGUAAUGAUUAAUAGGGACGGUCGGGGGCAUCAGUAUUCAGUUGUCAGAGGUGAAAUUCUUGGAUUUACUGAAGACUAACUACUGCGAAAGCAUUUGCCAAGGACGUUUUCAUUAA